GACUUCCUUAAUAUCUUGUGGUCUCUACGUUGUUGCUUUUAUUCUAAUCAUGAUUCUGGUUUACCGAAGAAAGACUUAUACACUAGUCUUUAUGGAAAAUCUCGUGCAUAAUUCAUCCGUCAAGUGAAAGCUUGGAUAGAAAUUUGAGUAAUUUGAGCAGAUACUCUCAAACAGCUUAUAUUACGGAUCCAAGAGCAUUUCGUGGAGAUGGCAAAACUGCCUUUUUUGUUUUUUUUGCUGUUAGAAGUUGUUCCUCUUAAUGUGAUAUAAAAGUUUGUAUUGCAAUUAUUGAAAUGGCAC
rnacentral:lncRNA from 1 species